UCAGUCGGAGGUGGAGGCGACGCUGAACCUGAACGCGAUGAACCAGGCGCCGAACCCGUGGCACGUGUCCUUCUCCUACGCGCGGGCGCUCCAGAACACCUGCCUCAAGACGUGGGGUGGGCGGCCGGAGAACGUGGCCGCGGCGCAGGAGGCGCUGCUGCUGCGCGCCAAGGCCAACUCCCUGGCGCAGCUCGGCAAGUACACCAGCGACGGCGAGGCCGCGGAAGCCAGCGAGAACAUGUUCGUCAAGAACUACAGCUACUGAUCCGUCGGCGAGCUAUCUAUCUAAUUAUCUACCUAUGGAGGGAGAGUGCUAGUAGCGCCUUGAGCAGCUUGAGGGCACCUUAGCCAGCCAGUGUGUCGUCGUUGUUACAGGUCGAGACCAGCUCUGAUGGAAGAGAUGGACGGAGAGUAUAUACUGUGUUUUGCCACCCUAAGUAAAAAACUUUUGGAAUGGUUUUACUGCUGUAUUCGAAUGGUUUUUCUAGAGCAUUGUUGCCUUUGUUUGCCACCCUAAGUAUGAAC
rnacentral:lncRNA from 1 species